GAUUCCCCUAGUAACGGCGAGUGAAGAGGGAACAGCCCAGCGCCAAGUCCUGACGCUUGACGUGUUCAGGAGAUGCGGCGUUAGUGCGGUGGUGCAUCGCACGCUGCUUCGUGUCUCAAGUUCCUUUGACAGGGACUCCCACAGUGGGUGCUAGGCCCAUGGAGGCUGCGAGAGCUGGCGUGCGCAAACCAACGCAUCUUAGAGUCAGGUUGCUUGAAAGUGCAGCCUAAAGCAGGUGGUAAACUUCAUCUAAGGCUAAAUAUUACAGCGAGACCGAUAGCAAACAAGUACUGUGAAGGAAAGUUGCAAAGAACUUUGAAGAGAGAGUUCAAAAGGACGUGAAACCACUGACAGGCAAACGGGUGGAACCACGAAGUGUGCCCGAAAAGCGAUUCAGUUGUUGGCACUUGCUUGGCGUCGUUUGUGGUACGAGUCGGUGUAAGCCGGCUACACUUGCGGCGUGCAAAGUGAUGUCGGCAAUGCAUUUUGUUUUUUCGGUGCUAAAGCCACGUCCGAUCAGGUGGCUGGAACGGCCGUAGCGGGUGACUUUGGGAAGGUAGCCGCCGAGCGUCUCGUACACUUGGCGGUGUUAUAGCUCAAGGUCCGUUUCUAACCGUUGCCUAGCGUGCUGAUUGGUGCAAGUUCUCCGCUCUGGAGUGCUCAAGGAGAGAGUCGGUGCGCUUGUGGCGGCAAGGCGUGUGCGUUGAUGUGUUCUUUUCGUGCCUUCGCGGUGCGAUAAAGGCAUGUUGGCGUCGUGCGUUUUGGUGUUGUUUGCGUGAUUGGCUUGAACAAACGGUGGUGCGAGUAGGUCGGUCUCCACCCGACCCGUCUUGAAACACGGACCAAGGAGCCUAACAUAUACGCAAGUCGCUCGGUCUUGUAUAGGCCUGGGAGGCGAAAUGAAAGUAACUGGCUAUGAGGCUUGCGCCGGAAACGGUGCAAGUCGCAGUAGCGGCCCACUUAUUUUCUUUAUUGGGACUAUGGUGGAGUCGGAGCGUAUACGUUGGUACCCGAAAGAUGGUGAACUAUGCCUGGGCAAGACGAAGCCAGAGGAAACUCUGGUGGAGGUCUGUAGCGAUUCUGACGUGCAAAUCGAUCGUCAGACCUGGGUAUAGGGGCGAAAGACUAAUCGAACCAUCUAGUAGCUGGUUCCCUCCGAAGUUUCCCUCAGGAUAGCAGGCGCUUGUUUGAUCAGUCUCAUCCGGUAAAGCUAAUGAUUAGAGGUCUUGGGACCGAAACGGUCUCAACCUAUUCUCAAACUUUAAAUGGGUGAGAUGCUUGACUUGCUUAAACUUGUUGAAGCCAAGCAAUUGGAUGUAAGUGCCUAGUGGGCCAGCUUUGGUAAGCAGAACUGGCGCUGUGGGAUGAACCAAACGUCGAGUUAAGGCAUCAAAUGCGUACGCUCAUCAGACCCCAUAAAAGGUGUUGGUUGCUAUAGACAGCAGGACGGUGGCCAUGGAAGUCGGAAUCC
rnacentral:rRNA from 1 species